rnacentral:rRNA from 1 species
AGUGAACGCUGGCGGUAGGCCUAACACAUGCAAGUCGAACGGCAGCACAGUAAGAGCUUGCUCUUACGGGUGGCGAGUGGCGGACGGGUGAGGAAUACAUCGGAAUCUACUUUUUCGUGGGGGAUAACGUAGGGAAACUUACGCUAAUACCGCAUACGACCUACGGGUGAAAGCAGGGGAUCUUCGGACCUUGCGCGAUUGAAUGAGCCGAUGUCGGAUUAGCUAGUUGGCGGGGUAAAGGCCCACCAAGGCGACGAUCCGUAGCUGGUCUGAGAGGAUGAUCAGCCACACUGGAACUGAGACACGGUCCAGACUCCUACGGGAGGCAGCAGUGGGGAAUAUUGGAGAAUGGGCGCAAGCCUGAUCCAGCCAUACCGCGUGGGUGAAGAAGGCCUUAGGGUUGUAAAGCCCUUUUGUUGGGAAAGAAAAGCAGCAGGUUAAUACCCCGCUGUUCUGACGGUACCCAAAGAAUAAGCACCGGCUAACUUCGUG